GGUGACUCCCCCCACGAUUGCGGUCCCCCGCCCUCCGCCCGGCCGCCGCUGGCGGACCCCAAAGUCGGGGCGAGUCUCCAAACCGGGGAGCCGGCCCCGCCCCCACGCCGCGGCGGCGCCCUCCCUUCCCCCUCCCCGCCGCCCGCCUCUCCCCCUCCCCCCUCCAUAACUCAAAAGCCUGUCAAGCUGGUUCCAGACUCCUGGCGCCGGGCUCCGCUCCAGGAAAGAAAAAAAGGAAAGAGAAAAAGGGAAAAAGCCGGCGCGAGGGAGCGAGAGAGGCCCGCGGAGCAAAACCGUGCGCCCCGGCACGCACAGCCCCGCGGCCCCCGACCCCCCACGCCCCUAACCCUAACGGGGAUCCCAGUCCUAGGGACACCGGGCGCGUGCGCGACCCCAAUCAGUUAUUUAUGGGCGAAUUAAUUAUGUAGCUGCCAUGGGCGGGGGGGCCGGCAGGGGCCAUGCGACGCGGAGACCACCCGGCCGCGGUGGCGGCUCUCCUGCCGGGCCUCGGGGUCGGGAGGCGUCCCCACGCCGCCCGGGGAGGAUCCCGUUGUGAGAAAGCUGCCUCGGGGUGGGGUCCGGGAGGAGCGCGGGGGAACCUGAGGAAGCGGGAGAGACGGCUCGGAGACCUCCCAAUUAGACUGGGAGGGGAGAGGGGGGCGGGCGACGGAGCUGGAAAGAGCGGGCCGCGGAGACCGGGGCGUGGGAAGAGCCUGGCCUAGGCAUUUCUUCCCUUCCUUCCUUCCUUCAUCCCCAUCCUUACUGCGAGCCCACUACGUGCCACUGCGCCCACAGCAGAGGGCGGUAUUAGGGAGGGGUUAGGAGCAGGAAGGAAUUUCGAGGUACAGCUGGGUCCAAAUCCGGAUUUGUAUCCUAUACUCCCCUGCUGUGUGGCCUUAGGCAACGGCUUGCCCUCUCGGAGCCUCCACUUCCUCAUCUGCCAGUGGUCUUCAGGACUUGGGAGAUGGGGCGCUUGGGCAGAGAGUUUGUGGGGGCGCGGUCGAAGGGAGGUCCUGUCCUUGGGAAACUUUACAUAGAGGGGAACAUGCCCAGUCCCCCAGUAUUCCCCAUCUCGAAGCCCCGACUUUGGGUCUCAUAUAAUCUGCCUCUCCCCGGGGCCCACACAUUUGAAGGUCGUUAUUAAAACCACACCACCCCCAAGGCCACUGCUCAGGACGCUCACCCCUAGCUGGCUUCUCACCAGCCUGGCCCUGCAGAAGGUCGUGCAUAUGGCAGCCAGAGGGGCUCAAUCUAGUCCUUUUACUCCCCACCUCCGCUGCCUCCCCCGACUCUGCCCUUCACAUCCCCACCUGGGUUCUCCUUCCAACCUGCUUCUAGUCUGGGCUAGGGAGAUUGGAGCCCUGAGGCCAUGGGGGCUACGGGGCAGUGAGAACAGGGGUGGGGGCUCAGCUGGCCCUCCCUGGACAAGUGUCCCCCUUAUCUGGAGUGUCAAGGCGUUCUACUUCCAAGACUCAGAAGUGAAGGAGGCUUCCGUUUGCGACCCAGGAUUGCCUAGGGGUUUGCCUGUCUUCUUUCACCAAAACUUGCAAUAACUCUGUUAGGUGAAUGGGGCAGAUCCAGGUUUUAUGGGGCCUGAAGGUUUUACAAUCCUGGGGACCCACUUGAAGAAGAAUAGUGCAAAGUUAUGAAUAGGCGGUUAAGCUCAGGGCCUUGGUAAAUGACAGUCCCAGGAGCUAAAGCUUCAUUAGCCCCUCGGUAACUCACCUCUGUAGAUGGACAACACAACUGUCAUCCCUUUGCAGAGGUGGAAACAAAGCUUAGGCUGGCCCAAGGUCACAACAGGUAGAAAGGACAAGCUGGGAUCAAACCCAGGUCCCACCCCACAGGCAGCACCCUGAACUAACUGCCUCAGUAGGAAUGCCACCUUCCAUAUCAUCUACCCCAUGCCACAUCUCACCUGUCCCCACCAGUGCCCAGCCCAGGCAGGGUCAGUCAGAACAGCCUUUGCUUCCAGAACAGUCUGUGUCCCUCCCUCCAGAGGCCUCCAUGUCCCAAGGCUCAAGCCUCAGAGAUACUGUCUUGUGACAACACUCACAGAUCUAGUAAGUAGGUCUCUUCUAAACUUUUGAUUCCAGCAAUGGUAACCUGCUCACUCCAGAACUCCAGCUCCCCCGUCCACCUGGAGGGAGCGCACCCCUGUUCCCCGGUGGGCUCCCUGGUGUUCGGGGCUGGAUCUGUUUUAUUUGGCUCAGUAUUCCCCGCUCUUGACGCAGUACAGACAUACAGCCGACAGAGUGACUGUAGCAGUAACAUCUAUUCCCAACCUCGUGGAACAGGAUGUUGUUAAACUGCGGAUUCCCGGGCCCCCCUCAGAUUCUACUGAAUCAGACUCUCUGUGCACAGGGCCGGGGACUUGGCAUUUUACAAGCUCUUUUGGGUGCAUCUUAACCAUAGUAAAGUUCGAGACCACGGACCUACGGCCAGAAAGGACCAAAUGGUUGUGUCUAGACCAAGGCCUUCUCACCAGGGGGAGUUAUCUCCCCUAAAUCCGACCGAUUUCACCAGUUCCCCAGGCUCUUCUGGCUGAGAUCAAAUUAUUUCACUUAUCAGGCCAGGCACAGUGGGUCAUGCCUGUAAUUCCAGCACUUUGGGAGGCUGAGGUGGGUGUGUCACUUGAGGUCAGGAGUUCAAGACUAGUCUGGCCAACAUGGCAAAACCCCGUCUCUACUAAAAACACAAAAAUUAGCUGGGUGUGGUGGUGGGCGCCUGUAAUCCCAGCUACUCAGGAGGCUGAGGCAUGAGAAUCGCUUGAACCCGGGAGGUGGAGGUUGCAGUGAGCCAAGGUCGUGCCACUGCACCCCAGCCUGGGUGACAGAGCAAGACUCAAAAACAGCAACAAAAAUUAUUUCAUGUAUCAAAGACCUACUGCCUGCCCGGGACUGGGUCUGAGGCCUUAGAGAAUUGACCUCAUAGGAUACUCGCAAAAGCUCUGAGAAGUAGGGAGAAUUAUUGUCCCCAUUUUACAGAUGGAAUCUGAGGCCUGGAGAAGCAAAGUGGCUUUGUGGAAGGGAUACGGUGCUGGGGAAUGAGGAGGCUGGGAUGGGAGCUGAACUCACACCCUUAACUCCUUCCUUCCACUGCCCACAAGGCCACUGAUCCGAGGGCUGUAACUCGCAAGGGUCCUUCAGUAACAUCCGGAGAUGAGAGUUUACACACCAGCCUGUGAGCGGCUUUGAGAAAUUAAACACGCUACAGAGUCACUACAGGGACCUCAUGCUAAGACGCGCAACAAAAUUAGGCGACAGGCCCCAAAGAAAUCUAAUCAAGUAGGCCUCUUCUCCUCCGUAUCUUUGGAGUCGGUGUUCAGGGGAAUGUGUGUUUGCGGAAGGAUUUGAUGUAUUUGCUUCAGGCAAAUCUUUGCCUUUUUCUCUGCCUGCAGUUCUGUGCUAGGCAGCAAGAAAGCUCCACAGCUGGUGGCCAGUGCUGCAGGCCAGCGUGGCUCCCUGGGCUUCUCUGUAGGGCUGUGUUAUCACGCUUCCCCGGGUCCGGUGCUCUGUGCAAACGUAGCCUCUUUCCUGCUCCAGGAUGGGCAAGGCACAGGGGAGGUUUCAGGUGGAGAGAAAUUGAUUUAGUGGCCACUGCUUCUGAGGCUGGAGGACCUGCCUGAGGCAGAGGGUGUGGACUUGUUCUGGGAGGACCCAGAAGGCAGAACCACGGAAGGCUACCAAGGGAGGUCUCAUCUCAGAGGCAGGCUCAGGAAGGGAGCUGGGAGAUGCCGGCAGAGGGCCCAGGAGAGGCACACUGCCCACCAGCUAGGAGCUGCUUCUGACCUCGCUGGCCGAUGGCCGGGGACCCUGGCCCCUCCCAACCCCAGGGACACAAAGCAGAAGAUCCCAGAAUGGGGAUGGGGAGAGAGGACCAUCUUGUUCAACUUCCUCAUUCUAUACCAGGAAAACAGGCAUCGGAGAAGGGAAGAGAUACCUCAAGGUCAACGCCAAGUCCAGCAGCUGCUGCUCUCCUGAGUCCUCCACGUGGACUUCUUCUGCGUUCCCACAUCUCAUUCCUCCAAUUUUUUUUUAAAAAUUGUUAGUAGUAGCAUAAUACUAAGAAAGCACUAUUCAAAGGAACAAGAAGACCCACCGUGUGCGGAACGGUCACUGUGCACCAGGCAACGUGACCCGCAAUUUUCUCUCCUAUAAAACGGGGAUGAGAACAGGGCCUCCCCUGCUGACUCAUGGGAAGAGGUUAAGAUCAAAGGUGACAGUGGACAUGAAUCAGCAUUUUAUAAACCACAAGACAUUGUCACCAUGGCUAUCUUUGGUUUUUAUUAUUUAUUUUUUAAUUUUUUAAUUUUUAUUUUUUGAGAGCAGGGUCUCACUCUGUUACCCAGGCUGCAGUGCAGUGGUGCAAUCAUGGCUCUCUGCAGGCUCAAAUCCUGGGCUCAAGCAAUCCUCCACUCAGCCUCCUGAGUAGGUGGGACUAUAGGUGUGUGCCACCUUGCUAUUAAAUUACCUGGCUAUGGCCGGGCACAGUGGCUCACACCUGUAAUCCCAACACUUUGGGAGGCUGAGGCGGGUGGAUCACUUGAGGUCAGGAGUUCAAGACCAGCCUGGCCAACCCCGUCUCUACUGAAAAUACAAAAAUUAGCUGGGCAUGGUGGCACAUGCCUGUAAUCUCAGCUGCUAGAGAGGCUGAGACACAAGAAUUGCUUGAACUUGGGAGGCAGAGGUUGCAGUGGGUCGAGAUUGCCCCACUGCACUCCAGCCUGGGUGACAGAGCGGGACCCUGUCUCCAAAA
rnacentral:lncRNA from 1 species